GUCACACUAUCAUUAACUGAAUCCAUAGGUUAAUGAGGCGAACCGGGGGAACUGAAACAUCUAAGUACCCCGAGGAAAAGAAAUCAACCGAGAUUCCCCCAGUAGCGGCGAGCGAACGGGGAGGAGCCCAGAGCCUGAAUCAGCAUGUGUGUUAGUGGAAGCGUCUGGAAAGGCGCGCGAUACAGGGUGACAGCCCCGUACACAAAAGCGCAUGUGCUGUGAGCUCGAUGAGUAGGGCGGGACACGUGGUAUCCUGUCUGAAUAUGGGGGGACCAUCCUCCAAGGCUAAAUACUCCUGACUGACCGAUAGUGAACCAGUACCGUGAGGGAAAGGCGAAAAGAACCCCGGCGAGGGGAGUGAAAAAGAACCUGAAACCGUGUACGUACAAGCAGUGGGAGCACCCUUUGGGUGUGACUGCGUACCUUUUGUAUAAUGGGUCAGCGACUUAUAUUCUGUAGCAAGGUUAACCGAAUAGGGGAGCCGGAGGGAAACCGAGUCUUAACCGGGCGUUAAGUUGCAGGGUAUAGACCCGAAACCCGGUGAUCUAGCCAUGGGCAGGUUGAAGGUUGGGUAACACUAACUGGAGGACCGAACCGACUAAUGUUGAAAAAUUAGCGGAUGACCUGUGGCUGGGGGUGAAAGGCCAAUCAAACCGGGAGAUAGCUGGUUCUCCCCGAAAGCUAUUUAGGUAGCGCCUCGUGAAUUCAUCUCCGGGGGUAGAGCACUGUUUCGGCUAGGGGGCCAUCCCGGCUUACCAACCCGAUGCAAACUGCGAAUACCGGAGAAUGUUAUCACGGGAGACACACGGCGGGUGCUAACGUCCGUCGUGAAGAGGGAAACAACCCAGACCGCCAGCUAAGGUCCCAAAGUCAUGGUUAAGUGGGAAACGAUGUGGGAAGGCCCAGACAGCCAGGAUGUUGGCUUAGAAGCAGCCAUCAUUUAAAGAAAGCGUAAUAGCUCACUGGUCGAGUCGGCCUGCGCGGAAGAUGUAACGGGGCUAAACCAUGCACCGAAGCUGCGGCAGCGACACUGUGUGUUGUUGGGUAGGGGAGCGUUCUGUAAGCCUGUGAAGGUGUGUCGUGAGGCAUGCUGGAGGUAUCAGAAGUGCGAAUGCUGACAUAAGUAACGAUAAAGCGGGUGAAAAGCCCGCUCGCCGGAAGACCAAGGGUUCCUGUCCAACGUUAAUCGGGGCAGGGUGAGUCGACCCCUAAGGCGAGGCCGAAAGGCGUAGUCGAUGGGAAACGGGUUAAUAUUCCCGUACUUGGUGUUACUGCGAAGGGGGGACGGAGAAGGCUAUGUUGGCCGGGCGACGGUUGUCCCGGUUUAAGCGUGUAGGUGUGUGUUCCAGGUAAAUCCGGUUCACUUUAACACUGAGGCGUGACGACGAGGCACUACGGUGCUGAAGCAACAAAUGCCCUGCUUCCAGGAAAAGCCUCUAAGCAUCAGGUAACAUCAAAUCGUACCCCAAACCGACACAGGUGGUCAGGUAGAGAAUACCAAGGCGCUUGAGAGAACUCGGGUGAAGGAACUAGGCAAAAUGGUGCCGUAACUUCGGGAGAAGGCACGCUGACACGUAGGUGAAGUGAUUUACUCAUGGAGCUGAAGUCAGUCGAAGAUACCAGCUGGCUGCAACUGUUUAUUAAAAACACAGCACUGUGCAAACACGAAAGUGGACGUAUACGGUGUGACGCCUGCCCGGUGCCGGAAGGUUAAUUGAUGGGGUCAGCGCAAGCGAAGCUCCUGAUCGAAGCCCCGGUAAACGGCGGCCGUAACUAUAACGGUCCUAAGGUAGCGAAAUUCCUUGUCGGGUAAGUUCCGACCUGCACGAAUGGCGUAAUGAUGGCCAGGCUGUCUCCACCCGAGACUCAGUGAAAUUGAACUCGCUGUGAAGAUGCAGUGUACCCGCGGCAAGACGGAAAGACCCCGUGAACCUUUACUAUAGCUUGACACUGAACAUUGAGCCUUGAUGUGUAGGAUAGGUGGGAGGCUUUGAAGUGUGGACGCCAGUCUGCAUGGAGCCGACCUUGAAAUACCACCCUUUAAUGUUUGAUGUUCUAACGUGGACCCGUUACCCGGGUUGCGGACAGUGUCUGGUGGGUAGUUUGACUGGGGCGGUCUCCUCCUAAAGAGUAACGGAGGAGCACGAAGGUUGGCUAAUCCUGGUCGGACAUCAGGAGGUUAGUGCAAUGGCAUAAGCCAGCUUGACUGCGAGCGUGACGGCGCGAGCAGGUGCGAAAGCAGGUCAUAGUGAUCCGGUGGUUCUGAAUGGAAGGGCCAUCGCUCAACGGAUAAAAGGUACUCCGGGGAUAACAGGCUGAUACCGCCCAAGAGUUCAUAUCGACGGCGGUGUUUGGCACCUCGAUGUCGGCUCAUCACAUCCUGGGGCUGAAGUAGGUCCCAAGGGUAUGGCUGUUCGCCAUUUAAAGUGGUACGCGAGCUGGGUUUAGAACGUCGUGAGACAGUUCGGUCCCUAUCUGCCGUGGGCGCUGGAGAACUGAGGGGGGCUGCUCCUAGUACGAGAGGACCGGAGUGGACGCAUCACUGGUGUUCGGGUUGUCAUGCCAAUGGCACUGCCCGGUAGCUAAAUGCGGAAGAGAUAAGUGCUGAAAGCAUCUAAGCACGAAACUUGCCCCGA
rnacentral:rRNA from 1 species